UACAGAGGUCCCAAGCGUUGUUCGGAUUCACUGGGCGUAAAGGGUGCGCAGGUGGCCGCGCAAGUUCGAUGUGAAAGCCCCGGGCUUAACCCGGGAAUGGCAUUGAAAACUGCGUGGCUGGAGGAUCGGAGGGGGGACUGGAAUUCUUGGUGUAGCAGUGAAAUGCGUAGAUAUCAAGAGGAACACCAGUGGCGAAGGCGAGUCCCUGGACGAUACCUGACACUGAGGCACGAAAGCCAAGGGAGCAAAC
rnacentral:rRNA from 1 species